UUUAAGGAAUAAGGGUCUAUCUUUUGAUCUCUGCUAUGAUCCCCUUAAAAUAGUUCUAGUUUA
rnacentral:ncRNA from 1 species